rnacentral:tRNA from 1 species
GGCGAGGUAGCUCAGGCGGUUAGAGCGCAGGAUUCAUAACCCUGAGGUCGCGAGUUCAAUUCUCGCUCUCGCUACAA